rnacentral:rRNA from 1 species
CGAACGUUAGCGGCGCGCUUAACACAUGCAAGUCGGACGAGAAAGGGCUUCGGCCCGGUACAGUGGCGCACGGGUGAGUAACACGUGGGUAAUCUACCCUCGAGCGGGGGAUAACGUUCCGAAAGGAGCGCUAAUACCGCAUAAGACCACGCUCUCGAAAGGGAGCGAGGUAAAAGUAGGCCUCUGAAUUCACGCUUACACUCGAGGAUGAGCCCGCGGCCCAUCAUGGUAGUUGGUAGGGUAAUGGCCUACCAAGCCGAAGACGGGUAGCUGGUCUUAGAGGAUGAUCAGCCACACUGGAACUGAGACACGGUCCAGACUCCUACGGGAGGCAGCAGUGGGGAAUCUUGCGCAAUGGGCGAAAGCCUGACGCAGCGACGCCGCGUGGGUGAUGAAGGCCUUCGGGUCGUAAAGCUCUGUGGGGAGAGACGAAUAAGACGUGGCUAAUAUCCACGGCGAUGACGGUACCUCCUUAGCAAGCACCGGCUAACUCUGUG